AUUGAACGCUGGCGGCAUGCUUUACACAUGCAAGUCGAGCGGCAGCGCGGGGCUCAGGCAACUGAGCCCUGGCGGCGAGCGGCGAACGGGUGAGUAAUGCAUCGGAACGUGUCCCGUAGUGGGGAGUAACCGGCGAAGCGGACUAAUACCGCAUAUGCUCUACGGAGGAAAGCGGGGGACGUCGCAAGAGCCUCGCGCUAUGGGAGCGGCCGANGUCCGAUUAGCUUGUUGGUGAGGUAAUGG
rnacentral:rRNA from 1 species